CCUACGGGUGGCUGCAGUGGGGAAUAUUGGACAAUGGGGGGAACCCUGAUCCAGCCAUGCCGCGUGUGUGAAGAAGGCCCUCGGGUUGUAAAGCACUUUCAGUGAGGAAGAACGCCUGGUGGUUAAUACCCAUCAGGAAAGACAUCACUCACAGAAGAAGCACCGGCUAACUCCGUGCCAGCAGCCGCGGUAAUACGGAGGGUGCGAGCGUUAAUCGGAAUUACUGGGCGUAAAGCGCGCGUAGGUGGCUUGAUAAGCCGGUUGUGAAAGCCCCGGGCUCAACCUGGGAACGGCAUCCGGAACUGUCAAGCUAGAGUGCAGGAGAGGAAGGUAGAAUUCCCGGUGUAGCGGUGAAAUGCGUAGAGAUCGGGAGGAAUACCAGUGGCGAAGGCGGCCUUCUGGACUGACACUGACACUGAGGUGCGAAAGCGUGGGUUGCAAACAGGAUUAGAUACCCGGGUAGUC
rnacentral:rRNA from 1 species